GCCGGGCGCGGUGGCUCAAGCCUGUAAUCCCAGCACUUUGGGAGGCCGAGACGGGUGGAUCACGAGGUCAGGAGAUCGAGACCAUCCUGGCUAACACGGCGAAAACCAGUCUCUACUAAAAAAAUACAAAAAACUAGCCAGGCGAGGUGGCGGGCGCCUGUAGUCCCAGCUACUCGGGAGGCUGAGGCAGGAGAAUGGCGUAAACCCGGGAGCCCGGGUUUACGCCAUUCUCCUGCCUCAGCCUCCCGAGUAGCUGGGACUACAGGCGCCCGCCACCUCGCCUGGCUAGUUUUUUGUAUUUUUUUAGUAGAGACGGGUUUUCACCGUGUUAGCCAGGAUGGUCUCGAUCUCCUGACCUCAUGAUCUGCCCGUCUCGGC
rnacentral:SRP_RNA from 1 species